rnacentral:rRNA from 1 species
CCUACGGGAGGCAGCAGUGGGGAAUUUUGGACAAUGGGGGCAACCCUGAUCCAGCCAUUCCGCGUGAGUGAAGAAGGCCUUCGGGUUGUAAAGCUCUUUCGGCAGGACGAAACGGUGACCCCUAAUACGGGUUAUUAAUGACGGUACCUGAAGAAGAAGCACCGGCUAACUACGUGCCAGCAGCCGCGGUAAUA